GAUGAACGCUGGCGGCGUGCCUAAUACAUGCAAGUCGAGCGAACGGACGAGAAGCUUGCUUCUCUGAUGUUAGCGGCGGACGGGUGAGUAACACGUGGAUAACCUACCUAUAAGACUGGGAUAACUUCGGGAAACCGGAGCUAAUACCGGAUAAUAUUUUGAACCGCAUGGUUCAAAAGUGAAAGACGGUCUUGCUGUCACUUAUAGAUGGAUCCGCGCUGCAUUAGCUAGUUGGUAAGGUAACGGCUUACCAAGGCAACGAUGCAUAGCCGACCUGAGAGGGUGAUCGGCCACACUGGAACUGAGAGACGGUCCAGACUCCUACGGGAGGCAGCAGUAGGGAAUCUUCCGCAAUGGGCGAAAGCCUGACGGAGCAACGCCGCGUGAGUGAUGAAGGUCUUCGGAUCGUAAAACUCUGUUAUUGGGGAAGAACAGAUGUGUAAGUAACUGUGCACAUCUUGACGGUACCUAAUCAGAAAGCCACGGCUAACUACGUG
rnacentral:rRNA from 1 species